CCAGAAGCUGCUGCGGCUUCCGUUGAAAAGCAGAAGCGGCCUCACCCCUCCUUUUAAAAGCCAGAAGUCGGGAGAUCAUUAGUGACGGUAGAUUAAUGAAAUUUCGAUAAUACCAGUCUCUACCCUCCAUUUCUUGAAGGAAUUACGCAGACGGCAUGAAGGAAUUACCAGUCUCUUCAGUCCUCACGCAGACGCUGCUCCUCUUCAGAGACGCACUCUCUCUCUCUCUCUGACUAGCAUCACCUCUCUCCUUAACCCUCUGGCUUCUCUUUCUUUUGUACUCGUCAAUCAACAUCACGAUUUUGGGUAUUGGAGUUACGGAAUUAAGUAAAUAUAUUUAUGGAAAGUUGGGGAAUUGGGAUUUAAUUCUUCAGCAUUUUUUUUUUCAUAUUUUGGCUUCAAGGAAAUAGCUUUCUGGGUCUAUGUUUCUGCUUAUGAAAUUGCUCUGGUCUGGGCAUUUACUGGUGUGAAUUUGAGUUCUCAGCUUAAAUUCAAGGAAUCAAAGUAACUCAAAGCAGUACUAAACGAUCGAUUGAGCCCUGGGGGUCUUCAGAAAUAACAUGUAAGAAGACAAGGCAGCAAGUUCCCCCUCUAGCAAGGUUUCUCAUUGCUUCAGAAUGAUCCAUCCAACAUGAAAGUCUCUUGCCCUUUGAGCU